AGCAGCCGCGGUAAUUCCAGCUCCAAUAGCGUAUAUUAAAGUUGUUGCAGUUAAAAAGCUCGUAGUUGAAUUUCGGGAUUAAUUUACUGGUCGUGCUAUUGUACGUACUGGUUUUACUGAUUCCUCCCUUCUGAUGAACUAUGAUGUCAUUAAUUUGGUGUCAUAGGAAAUCAGGACUGUUACUUUGAAAAAAUUAGAGUGUUUAAAGCAGGCUCACGCUUGAAUACAUUAGCAUGGAAUAACGGAAUAGGACGUUUGAUUCUAUUUUGUUGGUUUCUAGGAUCGACGUAAUGAUUAAUAGGGAUAGUUGGGGGCAUUAGUAUUCAAUUGUCAGAGGUGAAAUUCUUGGAUUUAUUGAAGACUAACUACUGCGAAAGCAUUUGCCAAGGAUGUUUUCAUUAAUCAAGAACGAAAGUUAGGGGAUCGAAGACGAUCAGAUACCGUCGUAGUCUUAACCAUAAACUAUGCCGACUAGGGAUCGGAUGAUGUUAAUUUUUUAAUGACUCAUU
rnacentral:sRNA from 1 species